GGGACGGUAGCUCAGUCUGGGAGAGCAUUGUUUCAGCAAUCUUAGGCUAGACUGAAGAUCUAGAUGGCGGGGGUUCAAAUCCCCCUCGUCCCA
rnacentral:tRNA from 1 species